rnacentral:rRNA from 1 species
UACAGAGGCCCCAAGCGUUGUUCGGAUUCACUGGGCGUAAAGGGUGCGUAGGUGGUGAGGUAAGUCGGAUGUGAAAUCUCCGAGCUCAACUCGGAAAUGGCAUUGGAAACUACCUUGCUAGAGGGUUGGAGGGGGGACUGGAAUACUUGGUGUAGCAGUGAAAUGCGUAGAUAUCAAGUGGAACACCAGUGGCGAAGGCGAGUCCCUGGACAACUCCUGACACUGAGGCACGAAAGCUAGGGGAGCAAACAGG